GAUAAAAGAGGAUAAAAGAGGAGCGUAGAGGAGGAGAGAAAUGCGUGCCUGAAGAGGCCGGAUCACAGUCCGACUCCCGCGCCACAACUCGGAGUAAUUCCCUUCAUUCACAGAAACAAACCAAUGGCCGAAUUCAAGUUAAUACGGCUUACACUGGCCUUUCUGAUCAGAAGAGUAAUACCCGGUUAUAACGCUGUUACGCUAAACACAUAUAGGACGCAGCGGUCCGAAACGGGAACAACAAGAGUUUUAAAUAGGUAAAACUCAGGACGCGGCGGUCCAACAAAGAUACAAAUUACAGUUUCUGCUUCAAUCAAACAAUUGUUAAAAACACUCUCUAAAGCUAAUUCUGCCCAGACCUAAUUAAGCCUCACUUGUGAAUCGCUUUGCCUGCGAUUGGUGAAAGGAAAAGGAUCCGGUGAUUGAACAGAUCUUCUGUCCGUCCUGGUGCAGAGGCGUCUGAUGGCGGCGAGGGUCCCUUACAGCAAGAGCGGCUUCGUUGGUUCUCCGUUGAGUGGAAAGAUGUCCGUUGAUCUCCUUUCGUUGCAGGACAGAAUAAGACCGUUAUCUUUCUGAUAAUCUGUUAUAGUCUGACGCUCUCCGAGAAACUGAGAUGCGUUCACUGGACAAUCCGAGCUCGGAAUUUAGAACACUGCCGGCCGCGGAUUACCUGCGCGCCAAAA